rnacentral:rRNA from 1 species
AUUGAACGCUGGCGGCAUGCCUUACACAUGCAAGUCGAACGGUAACAGGUCUUCGGAUGCUGACGAGUGGCGAACGGGUGAGUAAUACAUCGGAACGUGCCUAGUAGUGGGGGAUAACUACUCGAAAGAGUGGCUAAUACCGCAUGAGACCUACGGAUGAAAGCAGGGGAUCGCAAGACCUUGUGCUACUAGAGCGGCCGAUGGCAGAUUAGGUAGUUGGUGGGAUAAAAGCUUACCAAGCCGACGAUCUGUAGCUGGUCUGAGAGGACGAUCAGCCACACUGGGACUGAGACACGGCCCAGACUCCUACGGGAGGCAGCAGUGGGGAAUUUUGGACAAUGGGCGCAAGCCUGAUCCAGCAAUGCCGCGUGCAGGAUGAAGGCCUUCGGGAUGUAAACUGCUUUUGUACGGAACGAAAAGCCCUGGGUUAAUACCCUGGGGUCAUGACGGUACCGUAAGAAUAAGCACCGGCUAACUACGUGCCAGCCGCCGCCGUAA